UACGUAGGGUGCGAGCGUUGUCCGGAAUUACUGGGCGUAAAGAGCUCGUAGGUGGUUUGUCGCGUUGUUCGUGAAAACUCACAGCUCAACUGUGGGCGUGCGGGCGAUACGGGCAGACUGGAGUACUGCAGGGGAGACUGGAAUUCCUGGUGUAGCGGUGGAAUGCGCAGAUAUCAGGAGGAACACCGGUGGCGAAGGCGGGGUCCUGGGCCAGUACUGACGCUGAGGAGCGAAAGCGUGGGGAGCAAACAGG
rnacentral:rRNA from 1 species